GAUGAACGCUGGCGGCGUGCCUAAUACAUGCAAGUCGAGCGAACAGAUGAGGAGCUUGCUCCUCUGACGUUAGCGGCGGACGGGUGAGUAACACGUGGAUAACCUACCUAUAAGACUGGGAUAACUUCGGGAAACCGGAGCUAAUACCGGAUAAUAUAUUGAACCGCAUGGUUCAAUAGUGAAAGACGGUUUUGCUGUCACUUAUAGAUGGAUCCGCGCCGCAUUAGCUAGUUGGUAAGGUAACGGCUUACCAAGGCAACGAUGCGUAGCCGACCUGAGAGGGUGAUCGGCCACACUGGAACUGAGAAACGGUCCAGACUCCUAAGGGAAGCAGCCGUAGGGAAUCUUCCGCAAUGGGCGAAAGCCUGACGGAGCAACGCCGCGUGAGUGAUGAAGGUCUUCGGAUCGUAAAACUCUGUUAUUAGGGAAGAACAAAUGUGUAAGUAACUAUGCACGUCUUAACGGUACCUAAUCAGAAAGCCACGGCUAACUACGUG
rnacentral:rRNA from 1 species